CCCGUGCCUAAUACAUGCAAGUCGAGCGGCAGAUGGGAGCUUGCUCCCUGAUGUUAGCGGCGGACGGGUGAGUAACACGUGGGUAACCUGCCUGUAAGACUGGGAUAACUCCGGGAAACCGGGGCUAAUACCGGAUGGUUGUUUGAACCGCAUGGUUCAGACAUAAAAGGUGGCUUCGGCUACCACUUACAGAUGGACCCGCGGCGCAUUAGCUAGUUGGUGAGGUAACGGCUCACCAAGGCGACGAUGCGUAGCCGACCUGAGAGGGUGAUCGGCCACACUGGGACUGAGACACGGCCCAGACUCCUACGGGAGGCAGCAGUAGGGAAUCUUCCGCAAUGGACGAAAGUCUGACGGAGCAACGCCGCGUGAGUGAUGAAGGUUUUCGGAUCGUAAAGCUCUGUUGUUAGGGAAGAACAAGUGCCGUUCAAAUAGGGCGGCACCUUGACGGUACCUAACCAGAAAGCCACGGCUAACUACGUGCCAGCAGCCGCGGUAAUACGUAGGUGGCAAGCGUUGUCCGGAAUUAUUGGGCGUAAAGGGCUCGCAGGCGGUUUCUUAAGUCUGAUGUGAAAGCCCCCGGCUCAACCGGGGAGGGUCAUUGGAAACUGGGGAACUUGAGUGCAGAAGAGGAGAGUGGAAUUCCACGUGUAGCGGUGAAAUGCGUAGAGAUGUGGAGGAACACCAGUGGCGAAGGCGACUCUCUGGUCUGUAACUGACGCUGAGGAGCGAAAGCGUGGGGAGCGAACAGGAUUAGAUACCCUGGUAGUCCACGCCGUAAACGAUGAGUGCUAAGUGUUAGGGGGUUUCCGCCCCUUAGUGCUGCAGCUAACGCAUUAAGCACUCCGCCUGGGGAGUACGGUCGCAAGACUGAAACUCAAAGGAAUUGACGGGGGCCCGCACAAGCGGUGGAGCAUGUGGUUUAAUUUCGAAGCACGCGAAGAACCUUACCAGUCUUGACAUCCUCUGACAUCCUAGAGAUAGGACGUCCCCUUCGGGGGCAGAGUGACAGGUGGUGCAUGGGUCGUCAGCUCGUGUCGUGAGAUUGGGUUAAGUCCCGCACGAGCGCAACCCUGAUCUUAGUUGCCAGCAUAGGCUCUGACUGCGGACAAACAGGGACUCAAUUUGCCCAGACCGGCCUCGGCCUAAAUGAAAAA
rnacentral:rRNA from 1 species